UGCACGCCGGGCUCAUCGGG
rnacentral:misc_RNA from 1 species